rnacentral:rRNA from 1 species
AUACGGAGGGUGCAAGCGUUAAUCGGAAUUACUGGGCGUAAAGGGCGUGUAGGCGGAUCGAUCAGUCAGGCGUGAAAGCCCCGGGCUCAACCCGGGAAAUGCGCUUGAAACUGUCGAUCUUGAGUUCGGGAGAGGGUAGUGGAAUUCCCAGUGUAGAGGUGAAAUUCGUAGAUAUUGGGAAGAACACCAGUGGCGAAGGCGGCUACCUGGACCGAUACUGACGCUGAUGCGCGAAAGCGUGGGGAGCAAACAGGAUUAGAUACCCGGGUAGUCC